GAUGAACGCUGGCGGCAUGCCUAACACAUGCAAGUCGAGCGAAAACAUCAGGAACUUGCUCCUUUGACGUUAGGGGCGGACGGGCGCGUAACACGUGGGCGAAUUAACUCUACGAACGGAUUAAGGCUAACCAACCGGGGCUAGUGCCGGAAACCAAUUAGAACUCUAUGGUACUACAGUAAAAGAUGGUAUUGCUAUCAGUUAUAGAUGGAGCCGCGUCGGAUUAGCUAGUUGGUAGGGUAACGGCUUACCAAGGCGACGAUACGUAGGCGACCUGAGAGGGUGGUCAGCCACACUGGAACUGAGACACGGUACAGACUCCUACACGAGGGAACGGUGGAGAGUCGUCCGCAAGGGGCGGAAGCCUGAUGGAGCAAAGCCGCGUGAGGGAUGAGGGUCUUCGGAUCGUAAAACUCUGUUAUUUGUGAAGAACAAAUGUGUAAGUAACUGUGAACUUCUUGACGGUACCUAAUCAGAAAGCCACGGCUAACUACGUG
rnacentral:rRNA from 1 species